rnacentral:rRNA from 1 species
AUUGAACGCUGGCGGCAUGCCUUACACAUGCAAGUCGAACGGUAACGGGCCUUCGGGUGCCGACGAGUGGCGAACGGGUGAGUAAUACAUCGGAACGUGCCCGAUCGUGGGGGAUAACGAGGCGAAAGCUUUGCUAAUACCGCAUACGAUCUACGGAUGAAAGCAGGGGACCGCAAGGCCUUGCGCGGACGGAGCGGCCGAUGGCAGAUUAGGUAGUUGGUGGGAUAAAGGCUUACCAAGCCGACGAUCUGUAGCUGGUCUGAGAGGAUGAUCAGCCACACUGGGACUGAGACACGGCCCAGACUCCUACGGGAGGCAGCAGUGGGGAAUUUUGGACAAAGGGCGCAAGCCUGAUCCAGCCAUGCCGCGUGCAGGAUGAAGGCCUUCGGGUUGUAAACUGCUUUUGUACGGAACGAAAAGCCUUCUUUUAAUACAGGAGGGUCAUGACGGUACCGUAAGAAUAAGCACCGGCUAACUACGUG